UUAGAAGCGGCCAGCUUGCUGGGAGUGGAAAUGUUGUUAACCUAGUGGCGGACGGGUGAGUAACGCGUGGGUAACCUGCCAUAUACAGGGGGAUAACACUUAGAAAUAGGUGCUAAUACCGCAUAAGCGCACGGAGCUGCAUGGCUCAGUGUGAAAAACUCCGGUGGUAUAUGAUGGACCCGCGUCUGAUUAGCUGGUUGGCGGGGUAACGGCCCACCAAGGCGACGAUCAGUAGCCGGCCUGAGAGGGUGGACGGCCACAUUGGGACUGAGGCACGGCCCAAACUCCUACGGGAGGCAGCAGUGGGGAAUAUUGGACAAUGGGGGGAACCCUGAUCCAGCGACGCCGCGUGAGUGAAGAAGUAUCUCGGUAUGUAAAGCUCUAUCAGCAGGGAAGAAAGAAAUGACGGUACCUGACCAAGAAGCCCCGGCUAACUACGUGCCAGCAGCCGCGGUAAUACGUAGGGGGCAAGCGUUAUCCGGAUUUACUGGGUGUAAAGGGAGCGUAGACGGUAAUGCAAGUCUGGAGUGAAAUGCAGGGGCUCAACCCCUGAACUGCUUUGGAAACUGUAUGACUGGAGUGCAGGAGAGGUAAGUGGAAUUCCUAGUGUAGCGGUGAAAUGCGUAGAUAUUAGGAGGAACACCAGUGGCGAAGGCGGCUUACUGGACUGUAACUGACGUUGAGGCUCGAAAGCGUGGGGAGCAAACAGGAUUAGAUACCCUGGUAGUCCACGCCGUAAACGAUGAUCACUAGGUGUC
rnacentral:rRNA from 1 species